GAAAUGCGAUAACUAGUGUGAAUUGCAGAAUUCCGUGAAUCAUCGAGUCUUUGAACGCACAUUGCGCCCCCUGGUAUUCCGGGGGGCAUGCCUGUCCGAGCGUCAUUGCUGCCCAUCAAGCACGGCUUGUGUGUUGGGUCGUCGUCCCCUCUCCGGGGGGGACGGGCCCCAAAGGCAGCGGCGGCACCGCGUCCGAUCCUCGAGCGUAUGGGGCGUUGUCACCCGCUCUGUAGGCCCGGCCGGCGCUUGCCGAACGCAAAUCAAUCUUUUUCCAGGUUGACCUCGGAUCAGGUAGGGAUACCCGCUGAACUUAAGC
rnacentral:misc_RNA from 1 species